CAGGCCACAACCCAUCUCCCCCACACCUAAAAAAGAAAAACCUAAUCUAUCCCCUAUCUCUCGGCCCUCUCUCCCUUAUCUCUUUCUCUUCAGAUCUGAGCAGCGGCGGCUCCCAUCCUCUCCCUCAGAUCGAGCUCCGCCCCGAUGUGGAAGAAGGUCUCGCCGCCCAGAUGUGGAGGAAGGCCUCGCCGCCCCGUCGAUUUGCAUGCGAGCCCCACCCCGAAGUAGAGGACAUGGUACGCGGACUUCUAUCUGUGCGCAUCUAGCCAUGGAGAUGGAGGGCUCGCCCCUCUCGCGCAUCUCCUCCGCACAGAGCGCUAGCAGCCCACAUGGCGUAGAUCCGCCAUCUCGUCAGUCCCACGCGCCGGCCACCGGUGGCUACCGCACUGUUCUGUUCAUCCCCCGCCCGCCGCACGCGACGGCCCACACUGCCAUGUUGUUUUGCUGCAGCCAGACCGCCGCCCCUGCCCUCGCGCACCGGGCAGAGGCUCGUUCUUCCUGGUGGUUGUUCACUCUUGGCGACUACGCGUUCCUCCCGGUGGUGGCGCUCUGCACACUGCUUCGCCUUUCUCCCAGAGGCUGCCGUUCGGCCCCUACCUCUAACCAAUUGAUUCAGCAACACAGACAGACGUGGAUUCUAGUACAAUGUCUGGGGAAAAAGCUGGUACACCUCUAAACUUUGUAAUAUUUGGGAGAGGAUGACUAAUCUAAUAUUAUCCAACAUACAUGUUUGUUGUCCUUGACCUGGAUGCCGAUGACACUCUUUUUCAUUCAGUUUGAAGUUGGUUUGCAUUGUUUCUGCAAAAGAAUUUUGUCUGAAUGUCAUAAAAAACAUGUUGAUAUGUCAUUAUAGAAUUUUGUUGCUUCUGUUGGAACCUGCAUUAUCAAUUUCACAGCAUGCAAAAGUUACUACUAACAGGUUACAUGCUGGUUUUUGACUGUUUAGGUUUCGACUUUGGAUAUCUGAACAAAUUAUAUAUGGAGAUUUCUUCUAUUAUAAUAGAAGUUAAACUUACCAAAAGAACAGAGGAUGUUUUAAAUAAGAGCAUUGUCUUCUAUGCUAUUUACAAUGUCAAAAUGUGGGGAAGGAAAGCUUCAAGAUAUUCCAUUUAAAGCGCUGGUAUCUAUUUGAAAAUUAAUGUAUGUGCAUACCUCCUUGAUCCCAACAGUAUUUGUGUACUGUAUAGGAAUCCUGAGCAGUAGCAAGUCAGGUGCUUAAUGGUGAUCCUACCGUGCAUAUUGCAUAAGCAAGUUAGUUCUAAAAAGGUAAUUGUUAAUUCGCCCGCGUCCGUCCCGCUAUUGCCACAACUCAUCUUGCAUAAGUGUUCCUAUAAGUUGGUACAAAGAUUUGACCGUGAAUGAACUUCAUACAGAUAACACAGUAGUUUGUGCACAACCAUAUUGCCUUUUCUCGCAUAAUAUGAAAACAUCAAAAUUAACCAGAGAAGUGAAUAUAUCUUCUCUAACACUGUCCACAUGUUCCUCUGUCAGUUUGGAUCAUAAGAAGUUGAACUAUCAGAAGCACAUGGUCUUCCACAUCAUUUUGGCACCUUACCUGUGGGUGUCCACGACAACAAUUUUUGCGGGCUUGGAUGUGGCACCACGGGCACCCAAUCGCAGCUUGAAUUGCUAGUGCUUAGUGCAGUGGGAUCAGAGGAUGGUCAUCAAUAGUUAACACACGCCAGCAGAAAUGUAAUAACCAAAUCUUAAACAGCAGACGAGAUAGUUUAUUUCUCUUAUGCGUAAUCUGAUGGUUUCCUAGGUUCUGGCUCUUAUACCUUCUGAAGAUUUGUAUGUAGAUUACAUAUGCUUCUCUGAAAGUAAUGGCUAAAUCUAAUCUAAUUUGUGGCACUGAAGUACAGAUGCUUUUCUCUGACGCUGUUAUGAAUAUAAUAGUCAGGUUCAGUCUAAGUUCAUAUGCUUUUUGAUUAGUAAUUUGCAGGUCCUCAUGUGCUUAGUACUGCAUUUAGAAAUGAUUGCGAGUAGAUUCUUCUAUAUGUAUGUGUAAUUGUGUACACCAAAUGGAGUCCUUGAAAUUCAUUUCUAACAUAGGGGAAGUAUGUAUAACCUCCUGAUGUACGUGGGUUUUUCACAAUACUUUUCCUAGGCCAUGCUGCACUCAUCAUUGAAACUCCUAGCUGUGUAUUAGGUAGUAAUCAUUUUGCCUAAUUUAUUGCCAUCAAGUGAAGCAAAGUGUGGUCUUUUCCACCCCAGAGAAGAAAAAGAAAGAAAACUAUGCAGUCUUUUCUACAAGAAUGGCUUUCGUGUGUCCGUCCGUGGAUGUGUUGCUCCCAAUAAUUGGGCGUCUGGACAUUCUAAAUUGUUGCCUUGUGUCCAGAUGAUACACCAUGUAAUAUACUUCCUGGUCUGCGGCUUGUGGAGAUUGAUACAGGCUACAUGGUGGGUCAGUGUGGCAUUGAUGUUUUAUUAUGCCUAACACAUCACAGAUUCAAAUUAGAACAUGUUGUGGCAUUAUUCUGAACAUGCCGUGUUUUUAUAAUACUAAAACCCCACAGUUUGUUUUUGCCAUUGAUGCUUUAUACAAUUAUUAUUUUUGCCAUUAUCUCUAUGAACGCAUGAAUUCACCGGUGACUUUUUUAUCCUUUGUAGGAAUGACAUACAAGAUUACGAGGAGGGAACCAUGAAUAUGGCAGUUUGCAUCAGCUAGACAUUUUGUGUAAUGGAGUAAAAAUAAUGUGUCUUUUAGGUAUAAUUUUGUAAACCUAUAUGGUGUCUUGUCAACUGGGUAUUUUGUGUAAUGGAGCAAACGAUGAAUCACCUGGACAUGCAUAUAUCAUUUUGUAAACCUAUCAGGUGCCUCAGUGACAGAAACAUAAAUGUUUCCUCCUUUCUGUUAGUUACCUUUAUCUAUAAGAAUAUUCUUCUUUUGUUCUGGUUUAA